rnacentral:rRNA from 1 species
UACGUAGGGGGCAAGCGUUGUCCGGAAUCAUUGGGCGUAAAGGGCGCGUAGGCGGCCCUGUCAGUCGGGUGUGAAAGCCCGGGGCUCAACCCCGGAACGGCACCCGAGACGGCGGGGCUGGAGACCGGGAGAGGAGGGUGGAAUAGCCAGUGUAGAGGUGAAAUUCGUAGAUAUUGGCUGGAACACCGGUGGCGAAAGCGGCUCUCUGGCCCGGUACUGACGCUGAGGUGCGAAAGCGUGGGGAGCAAACAGG